rnacentral:misc_RNA from 1 species
AGGCUCAAUCCGACUCAUUGAUUUACGGCAAUCAGCUUUAUGCGACUCUCAUGCUAAAUUGUAAGUAGAAACGAGAUGGUUGGGACUGGAAAAAAUGAGAAGGCAUAAACAGAUGCCAUAUUGGUUUGGGGCAUAUUAUAUGAUGGAGGUUUUGUGGGGACAGGCCGUUAUGGAUCGGUGUUGGAAUCAAUAAACAUUAUUUGUGAGGUCGUUUACAUCAAUACCAUGAAUGGACUCGAUAGUAACAUCUAUUGGUUGCAGGUUUGAGGAACAGGAGGCACCAGG